GACGAACGCUGGCGGCGUGCCUAAUACAUGCAAGUCGAAAGCAGUGGGGACGGGUGAGUAACACGUGGGUAACCUCCCAUCAGAGGGGAUAACACUUGGAAACAGGUGCUAAACCGAUACUGAUGGAUGGACCCGCGGUGCAUGAGCUAGUUGGUGAGGUAACGGCUCACCAAGGCCACGAGGCAUAGCCGACCCGAGGUGGUGCUCGGCAACUUUGGGCUCCAGACAGGACCCAGACUCCCACGCGAGACAGCAGUAGGGAAUUGUCUGCAAUGGAUGAAAGUCUUACCGACCAACGCCGCGUGAGUGAAGAAGGGUUAGGGAGCGUAAAAUUCUGUUGUUAGAUAAACGGUAUCUAACCAGAAAGCCACGGCUAACUACGUGCCAGCAGCCGCGGUAAUAC
rnacentral:rRNA from 1 species